UCUUGGAAGUAAAAAGAGAAAUCUACCGGAGUACUAUGAAUCAAAAAUUUAAAACUCAAAGGGCUUGGCGGUACUUUAGACCUCUCAGGGGAACCUGUCUCAUAAUCGACAAUCCACGCUGCACCUAACCUUUUUUUGUACACAGUUUGUAUACCGUCGUCGUCAGGUAACUUUUAAAAAUUUAAUAGUUAGCAGAUAAACCCUAAUAAGUUUAAACGUCAGAUCAAGGUGCAAUUAAUAAAAAGGUCGGGAUGGGUUACAGUUAUAUAUUAAUAAUAAUACGGAAAACUGACUGAAAUGUCAUUUUAAAAGGAGGACUUGAAAGUAAAGAAUAUUUAUACAUAUAAAUUGAAUAAGGCUCUGAAGCGUGC
rnacentral:rRNA from 1 species